rnacentral:misc_RNA from 1 species
UCCACGACGUCGCAAAAGUCGUUCUCCAAUUCCAAGACAUCGUAAAAGUCAUUCUCCAACUCCAAGGCGUCAUAAGUGGCAAAGAAGUAGGAGUUCCUCAUUGUCUCCUACUCGUAAAUCUUCUAGUCCAAGUCUUGCGUCAUAUGUCAGUGAGUGAGCAUUUUCUAGACUAACUUGAUUUCAUUUAUUCUCAGGCGUCAACAGGAAGCAGAACUAAAACUGAUUGAAGAGGAGACAGCAAAGCGGGUAGAAGA